rnacentral:misc_RNA from 1 species
AAUAUAGGAACUAAAUAGUAAUUUUUUCUAAAAUCUUUUCCCUUGCAUUUCUUUCUAUUGUGGACAACAAAAAACUAAAGCCAAUCUUUAAUUGUGGUUUUGUAAUUACUUUUAUUUAUCAUUUUGUUUUGGAACAUGUUCUGAAUUCUGACUAAUUGGUUUAUCGCUCAAACUCUCCUGUAAGAGUUUUCUGAAAUCCAGGAAUGCUAAUCUUUGCGUUUAUAGCAGUCAUUUCAAAUUUCUUAUUUUUAUGAAAACCAGACAGUUGACAAAACUGUGAGCUUUGACGAACUUAAGGAAUGAUUUAAGAGGUUUUUACUAGUUUUCUUGGCAUGUACAAGGUUGGAUCUAUUUUCAUUUUGCAUGAAAACACUUUUGUACUUUGUAAGGUAUGUUUUGGAUCAUGUAUAUACAUGCCAUUUUGUUUUUGCAACAUCUUUUUCUAUCUAAUGAGUUUGGUUUCCACUUUUGAUUUAUUCAAUAUGGUUUUUGGCACCCAACCUGGUUUUAUAAAUAUGUUUGCAGUUGCUAAGUAUUUCCGUUAUUGCUGCCAGAAUCAUCUAUUUGAUAAUGAUUGAGCCUUGUUCUUUCUUGUUUACUUUAACAAGUGUACUAACUGUGGGAUUAUCCGUUAUCUGUUAGUGUUUCAUUUGCUCGAUAUAUGUGGGUUAUCUUUUAUUUUACUUUGUUACCUUAGAUUUUGGCUCUAUGAAAUAAGGGCCUAAAACCAUGGAAACAACCUUCUUGCAAUGGCAAGGGAAGGACUUUGGACUUUUAACCUUUUCUCAGGGUCUGCAAUGUGGGAUUCUCAUGCACUGGGACACCAUUUUUUCUUAUAGAAAAGGCUAAGAUUUCUUUUUUAUGUUCUGAAAGUCUUAGCUUUUUUUGAAGUUUUCAAGAAUCUUUAUUUGGUAUUUUUAGCUGCUCUUAUGUGCCUUAUUUGCUGCCACUGCUUAUUUUAUGUUUUUAUUUUUAGAUGAGAUCCCAAGCAGGUGAUGU